rnacentral:lncRNA from 1 species
GCCCUCUGGUUCCUUUCCCCUAGUGGGGGUUUUGGAGAUAGUUAUUCAUUCCUGAUUGGUAAUCCUUUUAUUUAAAGGGAAAGCAAAUGCUGACAUUUCUGCCUGGAAAAAUAAUACUGAUCUGCAGCCAAAUAAGCUAGGAAUGCCGAUGCCCAGGUCCAAACCUUGAAGCUGGUUAAGAUGCAUGAAGAUAUCCAUUGAAAAAAGAACACGGAAUGGAAAUUUUCUAACUAAACGUUGUUACUGGAACACAAUGAUGACUAUACCAUUGAAGCUAUUGUGAGAAAUAAUGGAAGAGAGACACUCCCAAAUACAUGAAACUCAUAUUUCUUCAGGAUAACAAUGAAAAUCAUCUCCAUUGGAUUUGCAGAGCACUUCCUGCACUUCCCCACAACCGCCAUUCUACUUGAGCCAGGUGCCAGUUGUGUCCAUCAAAGGGAGGACAGUGCGGCUGGCCAGGUGGACUGACUGCUUGCCCUUUGGGGUGAUAAAGGAUGGAGUCCCUGGAUUUUGUCAGUUCUAAAGGUGAACGUUUUGCGGCAUCACUGCUUUAUUGAUCCCAGGCCCAUCCCUAUGUUUCUGUUUUUAAAAAAUUAAUUGGCUUUAGAUUUGUCAUAUGGACAUAGCUUCAAUCUCAGAUUACUAUGGAAAUAAAUAUCACAGUAGCUAGCA